rnacentral:rRNA from 1 species
CCUACGGGAGGCUGCAGUGAGGAAUAUUGGUCAAUGGGCGGAAGCCUGAACCAGCCAAGUAGCGUGCAGGAUGACGGCCCUACGGGGUGUAAACUGCUUUUAUACGGGAAUAACGCGACUUACGGGUAGGGCUUUGCAUGUACCGUAUGAAUAAGGACAGGCUAAUUCCGUGCCAGCAGCCGCGGUAAUACGGAAGGUCCGGGAGUUAUCCGGCUGUAUUGGGGUGAAAGGGAGCGUAGGCCGCAUGUCAAGCGUGAUGUGAAAUGUCCGUGCUUCACCCUGGCCUUGCCGCGCGCAAUGGCGUGCUUGAGUCCGCGGAAAGCAGGCGGAAUGAGUCGUGUAGCGG